UACGUAGGGCGCAAGCGUUGUCCGGAAUUAUUGGGCGUAAAGAGCUCGUAGGCGGCUUGUCGCGUCUGUUGUGAAAGCCCGGGGCUUAACCCCGGGUCUGCAGUGGAUACGGGCAGGCUAGAGGCAGGUAGGGGAGAACGGAAUUCCCGGUGUAGCGGUGAAAUGCGCAGAUAUCGGGAGGAGCACCGGUGGCGAAGGCGGUUCUCUGGGCAUGUUCUGACGCUGAGGAGCGAAAGUGUGGGGAGCGAACAGG
rnacentral:rRNA from 1 species